rnacentral:rRNA from 1 species
AUUGAACGCUGGCGGCAUGCCUUACACAUGCAAGUCGAACGGUAACAGGUCUUCGGAUGCUGACGAGUGGCGAACGGGUGAGUAAUACAUCGGAACGUGCCCGAUCGUGGGGGAUAACGAAGCGAAAGCUUUGCUAAUACCGCAUACGAUCUACGGAUGAAAGCAGGGGACCGCAAGGCCUUGCGCGAACGGAGCGGCCGAUGGCAGAUUAGGUAGUUGGUGGGAUAAAAGCUUACCAAGCCGGCGAUCUGUAGCUGGUCUGAGAGGACGACCAAGCAACACGGGACUUGAACAAGGCCCAAGAUCCUACGGGAGGCAACAGUGGGGAAUUUUGGACAAUGGGCGAAAGCCUGAUCCAGCCAUGCCGCGUGCAGGGUGAAGGCCUUCGGGUUGUAAACUGCUUUUGUACGGAACGAAAAGACUCUGGUUAAUACCUGGGGUCCAUGACGGUACCGUAAGAAUAAGCACCGGCUAACUACGUGCCAGCAGCCGCGGUAAGAC